rnacentral:rRNA from 1 species
UGCUACGCAAGAGUACUCUAAGGAGACUGCCGGUGACAAACCGGAGGAAGGUGGGGAUGACGUCAAGUCCUCAUGGCCCUUAUGGGUAGGGCUUCACACGUCAUACAAUGGUCGGAACAGAGGGUUGCCAACCCGCGAGGGGGAGCUAAUCCCAGAAAACCGAUCGUAGUCCGGAUUGCACUCUGCAACUCGAGUGCAUGAAGCUGGAAUCGCUAGUAAUCGCGGAUCAGCAUGCCGCGGUGAAUACGUUCCCGGGUCUUGUACACACCGCCCGUCACACCAUGGGAGUGGGUUUUACCAGAAGUGGCUAGUCUAACCGCAAGGAGGACGGUCAUCCACGGUAGGAUUCAUGAUCUGGGGUGAAGUCGUAAGCAACGGUACGCCGUAUCGGAAUGGUGUGGUUGGAUCACCUCCUU